GCAGUGGUCCUGCUGUGCGCCUGGCUUACUACUCACAAUUACUUGAAUCAUUUCUGUCAUAGGAAUUGCAUGAUUAUACAUUGUUCAUUCUGUACACAUGCCAUCCAUUGUAUGGGAUCCCUCCUCUGACGUUCUCCCUAAGGUUUCUUUCCUUUUUUUCCUCUUGGAAGGGUUUUUUCAUUUAUCGGGGAGUGCCGAUGGUGGGUUUCGGGACAGAGGAUGUUGUAUGUGUACAGACUGUAAAGCCCUCUGAGGCAAAUUUGUAAUUUGCGGUUUUGGGCUAUACAAAAUAAAAUGAAUUGAAUCGAAUACGAGCUCUGCAGAGCAGAUCAAUCAGGUAGAUCGUUGGUUGGCCAACUCUUUGAUAUGAAGUGUGACUUUUACAUGCAUUAAUGAAAAUGUUCUUGUUAAUUAGUGUGCCAUAUGAACAUUAGCUUCCAGAUUGAGUUUAAUUAGCAUACUGCCAAGCUUUGAUCUCCAGCCGAUCUCUAAUUUAUGCCAUCCAUAGAGGCAACGCUACAGAUCAACACAAGAAAAACAAUUACCAUAACCUGGCCAUGGUAAUUAAGGCCUCAUCCAUAUACAAAAAUUAACCAACCAACCUACCACGAAUCUUACUAAAAUGAGUUUCCAUAUUCCGCAGAGAAAAAAACAACUAUUAGGAAAUCGCAGAUAAAAAAUAUAACGUAAUUAACGGGCUGUGAAGAACGUUUGAUGUAGAGAGAAUACUGUGCCAUUGGAUAAGCUAAUGCAGGCCAGUGUGAGCUGACCUAUUCAUCCGUCAGGAUUGAUUUAAAAUGACAAACCAUUCCUACCUGAAUAUUUAGUGUCCUGCACCUGUGGGGUUUAGGCAGUAUAUUUCCUGAGGAGGUAUAGAGCUGGUUGCUUUCAUAUGUUAAAAUUCUUUCUAAGAAUUCUGUGGAGAAAAAAGUUGUAGCCAGCAUAGUACGGAGCCAAAUCCAGCCCAAAAAAUAUGAACCUGAAAGUUUAAGUUCUGGUCGUGAACAUUGAAAAAUGUAUUCAAAAUAAGUGGAUAUAAAGUAUUUUUAGGUUGUAUAUACUCAGUUAUUCAUACUCAGGGACUUUUGGCCUGGGUCUGGCGUAGGGGGCGGGGCAUCAACCGAGAGGGGCGUGUCAUCAUGAGUCCUGUUGCUUUUGGGGAAGGGACAUGGGUUUACCAAGUUGACCAAAAACUAAUAUAGCAUGAGUUCAACAUCUCGCACGUUGAACAUUAGCAGUGGAACAUAAAGUGUAGAGUACGGUAUAAAACAUUUUCUUGGUAUCAUUGGUGGAAAAGGCGAAUGAAACCAUGUGAGGCCAUUGUGUUAUAUUUGAUCACGUUACGGUUUGGGGGAGUUAUUGGGGUCAAAGCAAAGACAAUAACAAUAUAAAUCGGAGGCACACGGCUUAUGUGGAAAACUGAUCCGGCCAAAACAAAAAUAGUCCCUGUGUCAGUACAGACCGGUGAGGUGGUGGCAUGUCCUCAUGGUUAUGCAGAUAGACAGCACCACAGGGACGGCAAUGAGUUUGUGUUAAAAAUAAAAAAGCUAGCAGGGAGAGGUGAUUCUGCAGAGAAGAGAUAUCAGGAAGAUGAGAGGACAUCCCCUUUAUUCUCAACGAGGAGGAUCCCAACGUCAAUGAGGCAGAUUGAGUCAUCGUCCGAGUCCUUAACUAAUGAUAACACAAUUAUAACAUAUAAUAAUAACAAUUAGUAACGCUUAUCAAUGCAACCUUGUUACAGGAGAGUCAGACACUCGAAGGACUGUGUGAAACGGUUAUGACAGAUUGUAUUACACAGCGGGUUCUUAGAAAUCUGCUGGAUUGCCACUAAGGGAAACAGGAAGCCCUCGGACGUGCGCUGACGUUUGUUGCUGAUGAGGCGCCGACUCUUUCAGCGUCAGAUUUACACAUGAAUAGAGCUUAAAAAUCACCAUUAAAUUGGCCUCUUGCACAUUGACUACUGGUUGUUUUUCAUAAUUCAUGUCAGCGUAAAGAACGCUGACACAGAUUUCAUCCUGAUUAGUUUAACACAUUUUAUCAAGGACACCAAUGUUGAUGACCCCUCAAAAGGUUAAUUUGAAUUAAACUU
ensembl:lncRNA